GGGAUAUCGUAUCUUAGCCAUGCUCUGUUCUUCGUUGUCGGAUUCAUUGCCGGUUGGGAGGCCAAUAAACUGUGGCAUCGGUACCAGCGUUGGCGGAAUACGUUUUUAUGCUUAGCAUGUUUUCUUCUGUUUUAUACCAUUUGUCUCAUAUUCUAGGCUUUCCGCUCAACGCUUGUCACCAGCCACCUUGUGGGCCUGACACAGAAGAAACUAAAGUAGAAUUUCCGUGGUCUCGGAGUCGGCUAAAAUAAUAUUGCUGGACAGUUAAAGCUGAUCCGAGACACUGGAACGUGGCCCGGAGAGCGCACGCGCGGUGGGAGGUUGCUUCCUGCCCCACACCAGGGUGAAUAUGGCUGAAGUGUCCGAGAGGACGUUGCAACUAGCGGUUGUUCUGUCCUUUACUUCAGGGGUCAUUAUCGGCUGGCAGGCAAACAUCCUGAGGAGGAGGUUCCUGGAUUGGAGGAAGAGGCGGCUGCAGUCGAAACUGGUCGAGACGCAAAAGAAACUGGACUUGGCUUAAGUCAGGGGCAGCGAAAUGCACCUCAAUCCGCAGUGGGUAAGGGUGAGCGUGCUUCACCUUUUAUAGUGUCAUGCAAACAGGCCAACAGCACCAAGUGAGGACCCGGGAUGCCAGUAUUGGCCGUGAAGAUACCAAUUGAACCUUUUUUCUGAAGCAAUCAUGGAGCAGCAACCAGCUGCCAUAGAGCAAAAGACUCUUCAGUUUUGAAUUCCAAUUCACAAAAUGUUUACACGGAAAGCUAUUUUUGCUUUGAAUGUCUUUGACUGUGGCCAAGAAGCUGAUCUGCCACUUGUUCCGUUUUUUUAAUGCACAAAAUAUGAAUUAAUUUAAGAGUAAUUUCUGCAUCUUAAAUAAGACACUGUUUCUCAUACAAAAGCUGUAGGGGUAUGCACCAGUAAUGGCAAAUACCUGUCUCUGGGUGACUUUCAAGAUAUAUUUUUCCUUUUUUUAAAAUAGUAUUUUUCAUCAAUUAAAAUUGAUAAGUACAAAGAUAUUAAAAACUUAAUCCUAAUUGGUCUGCAAUUGAAAAUAAAUAUUCUGGAACUCCUAGGAUAAAUACCACUCCUAGUGCGUAGCUCUACAAUAUCAACAUUAGAUGCUUUUUAGGGGUGAACAUUGGAAUGGCUUGAAGGGAAAUACCGUACUAAACUUUUUUUUCUUUCAAUUGCUUUAUCCUUUUGAGGAGAAACUUUAGAUUUCCCCUAAGCUCAAAAUACUCAAGUUCAGCCAAUUGUGAGAGCCUCUUUAUUUACUUUUGGGAGAGGUAUUGACUGUUAAUGAACUGUGGAAGGGAAAGUUUUUGAGAGGGUAAAUAAGUUGUUUUUACUUGGUAUUGUGUUAGUAACAAGGGGGAUAUAAACUUAUAAUUAGUACUAGGAGCAUAAAGUGGAGAUUAGGAGUCAAGUGAACCACAACAUUUAAGAGGAAAUUAGAUAAGUAAUUGAAGAAGAAAAAUAUAAAAAUGGUACCGAGAAAGAGCAGUGAAAUAACAUUGAAGGAGAAAACUCCAUUGUGGAGCUAGAACCAGCACUGGCGUGAUGGAGUCAACUGUCUUCGUAUCUUCUUGCAUGUAUUAGCAGAGGUAUUGCAUGCAUUACCUCUGCCCUAACUCCAGCCAUACCAAGAAUUUUAGCAUACAUUUGGAGUGAUAAGCUCUAAAAUAUUUCAUUUUCUUUUUCUGUUGUUACGACAUUUUGCACUGGUAGUUCCUGUUUAUACCUUUUUAAGUCAAUUUACACUGAAGUAUAGAUGUUUCAGUAUCAUCAGUAAAGGAUUGAUGCGAA